rnacentral:rRNA from 1 species
AGUGAACGCUGGCGGUAGGCCUAGCACAUGCCAGUCGAACGGCAGCACAGUAAGAGCUUGCUCUUACGGGUGGCGAGUGGCGGACGGGUGAGGAAUACAUCGGAAUCUACUUUUUCGUGGGGGAUAACGUAGGGAAACUUACGCUAAUACCGCAUACGACCUACGGGUGAAAGCAGGGGAUCUUCGGACCUUGCGCGACUGAAUGAGCCGAUGUCGGAUUAGCUAGUUGGCGGGGUAAAGGCCCACCAAGGCGACGAUCCGUAGCUGGUCUGAGAGGAUGAUCAGCCACACUGGAACUGAGACACGGUCCAGACUCCUACGGGAGGCAGCAGUGGGGAAUAUUGGACAAUGGGCGCAAGCCUGAUCCAGCCAUACCGCGUGGGUGAAGAAGGCCUUCGGGUUGUAAAGCCCUUUUGUUGGGAAAGAAAAGCAGCAGGUUAAUACCCCGCUGUUCUGACGGUACCCAAAGAAUAAGCACCGGCUAACUUCGUG